CCUACGGGAGGCAGCAGUGGGGAAUCUUAGACAAUGGGGGCAACCCUGAUCUAGCCAUGCCGCGUGAGUGAUGAAGGCCUUAGGGUUGUAAAGCUCUUUCAGCUGUGAAGAUAAUGACGGUACCAGCAGAAGAAGCCCCGGCUAACUCCGUGCCAGCAGCCGCGGUAAUACGGAGGGGACUAGCGUUGUUCGGAAUUACUGGGCGUAAAGCGCACGUAGGCGGAUCGAAAAGUUGGGGGUGAAAUCCCGGGGCUCAACCCCGGAACUGCCUUCAAAACUAUCGGUCUGGAGUUCGAGAGAGGUGAGUGGAAUUCCGAGUGUAGAGGUGAAAUUCGUAGAUAUUCGGAGGAACACCAGUGGCGAAGGCGGCUCACUGGCUCGAUACUGACGGUGAGGUGCGAAAGCGUGGGGAGCAAAC
rnacentral:rRNA from 1 species